AGACCCGAAACCCGGUGAUCUAGCCAUGGGCAGGUUGAAGGUUGGGUAACACUAACUGGAGGACCGAACCGACUAAUGUUGAAAAAUUAGCGGAUGACCUGUGGCUGGGGGUGAAAGGCCAAUCAAACCGGGAGAUAGCUGGUUCUCCCCGAAAGCUAUUUAGGUAGCGCCUCGUGAAUUCAUCUCCGGGGGUAGAGCACUGUUUCGGCUAGGGGGCCAUCCCGGCUUACCAACCCGAUGCAAACUGCGAAUACCGGAGAAUGUUAUCACGGGAGACACACGGCGGGUGCUAACGUCCGUCGUGAAGAGGGAAACAACCCAGACCGCCAGCUAAGGUCCCAAAGUCAUGGUUAAGUGGGAAACGAUGUGGGAAGGCCCAGACAGCCAGGAUGUUGGCUUAGAAGCAGCCAUCAUUUAAAGAAAGCGUAAUAGCUCACUGGUCGAGUCGGCCUGCGCGGAAGAUGUAACGGGGCUAAACCAUGCACCGAAGCUGCGGCAGCGAACGUAUCACCCAAGACAACUUUACGGAGUUGACGAUUGACGGAGCGAAGCGACGUCAAAGCGUUCAUUAAAGUCGAGUUGGCUUAGGGAUACGUUCGUUGGGUAGGGGAGCGUUCUGUAAGCCUGUGAAGGUGUGUCGUGAGGCAUGCUGGAGGUAUCAGAAGUGCGAAUGCUGACAUAAGUAACGAUAAAGCGGGUGAAAAGCCCGCUCGCCGGAAGACCAAGGGUUCCUGUCCAACGUUAAUCGGGGCAGGGUGAGUCGACCCCUAAGGCGAGGCCGAAAGGCGUAGUCGAUGGGAAACGGGUUAAUAUUCCCGUACUUGGUGUUACUGCGAAGGGGGGACGGAGAAGGCUAUGUUGGCCGGGCGACGGUUGUCCCGGUUUAAGGGUGUAGGUGUGUGUUCCAGGUAAAUCCGGUUCACUUUAACACUGAGGCGUGACGACGAGGCACUACGGUGCUGAAGCAACAAAUGCCCUGCUUCCAGGAAAAGCCUCUAAGCAUCAGGUAACAUCAAAUCGUACCCCAAACCGACACA
rnacentral:rRNA from 1 species